rnacentral:lncRNA from 10 species
CUCUUCCGCCUCCGUUUCCUCAGCUGCCGGGAGCUGCCCGGAGAACCAGGCGCCUCCCAGUUGCUUUCGCCUCCCGCGUUGUUCGGCCAGAGCCUCGGCGCUGCUGCGUUUUGACUGGAGAUCUGAACGCUGCGUUAGGCCCCUUUCCCGUGAGCAGCAGAAGCCAGUUCUCCUGCCUUAACCACGGGAAUCACCGCCAGGCAGCGGGCGGUUCCCUGGAGGGCAGGGAGGGCUGGGGCCCCGGCCGCUCCAGAGGGUCCCAGGGCAGGAGGGACGCGUCGACGCCCAUCCCAGCACAGACUAUGUACAGCUGAUCAGUCUGAUGGCCCCAGAUGAACAAUGAGAUUCGCCAUUCCACAGUCUUCAUUUACAGCAGUCUGCACUGUUGAGAGGCUCCAGCCGUCACACUCACUCACAGGGGCCUCUCCAAGUUUCUUGCUGAAGACAUCCACAGGUCUUAACCAGGCUGGUCCACCGCGGUCUUGUGAUUCGAGGCACAGUAAGUGGCCCCUUACUUUCCUUCUCUACUUGACUUUUCUGGAUUCGAAAGAGCGUUUGUCAAACCUACAAAAAGAUGACGACUGAUGGUUUUUACAAGGUGUGAACCAUGAAGAGUGAUCCCAUGCCACCCAGGAUGGGGUUGAACAUUGACAUUGCUACAGACCUGUAUUAGGUGGAAAUAGCACUGAACCCCCAAAGGAAUCUAACAACAUGUAAGACAGGAUAUUUUUUGGCUGGGCGUGGUGGCUCACGCCUGUAAUCCCAGCACUUUGGGAGGCCAAGGCAGGCGGAUCACGUGAGGUCAUAAGUUCGAAACCAGCCUGGCCAAUAUGGUGAAACCCUGUCUCUACUAAAAAAAUACAGAAAAAAAAAAUUAGCCAGGCGUGGUGCUGGGCGCCUGUAAUCCAGCUACUCAGGAGGCUGAGGCAGGAGAAUGGCGUGAAUCCAGGAGGCGGAGGUUGCAGUGAGCCGAGAUGGCGCCACUGCACUCCAGCCUGGGCGACAGAGAGAGACUCCGUCAAAAAAAAAAAAAAAUUCCUGUCCUCCCCCACCCUUGUGAUAAUGUACUUUGUGAUAUUCCCCGUCCUUGUGAAUGUACUUUGUAACAUUCCUCCCCGCCCCUGUGACAAUACACCCUCCCCACCCUUAUGAAUGUACUUUGUAACGUCCAUCCCCUGCCCGAAAAAAUUGCUGCUAACUCCACCGCCUAUCCUAUCCCAAACCUAUAAGAACCAAUGAUAGGCCCACCACCCUCCUCUGACUCCUUUCUCAGACUCAGCCCC